UACGUAGGGGGCGAGCGUUGUCCGGAUUCAUUGGGCGUAAAGAGCUCGUAGGCGGCUUGGCAAGUCGGGUGUGAAAACUCCAGCUCAACCUGGAGACGCCACCCGAUACUGCCAUGGCUUGAGUCCGGUAGGGGACCACGGAAUUCCUGGUGUAGCGGUGAAAUGACGCAGAUAUCAGGAGGAACACCGGUGGCGAAGGCGGUGGUCUGGGCCGGUACUGACGCUGAGGAGCGAAAGCGUGGGGAGCGAACAGG
rnacentral:rRNA from 1 species